GGGGCUGAUUCUGGAUUCGACGGGAUUUGCGAAACCCAAGGUGCAUGCCGAGGGGCGGUUGGCCUCGUAAAAAGCCGCAAAAAAAUAGUCGCAAACGACGAAACCUACGCUUUAGCAGCUUAAUAACCUGCUUAGAGCCCUCUCUCCCUAGCCUCCGCUCUUAGGACGGGGAUCAAGAGAGGUCAAACCCAAAAGAGAUCGCGUGGAUGCCCUGCCUGGGGUUGAAGCGUUAAAACGAAUCAGGCUAGUCUGGUAGUGGCGUGUCCGUCCGCAGGUGCCAGGCGAAUGUAAAGACUGACUAAGCAUGUAGUACCGAGGAUGUAG
rnacentral:tmRNA from 1 species